AACGCUAGCGACAGGCUUAACACAUGCAAGUCGAGGGGCAGCACAGGUAGCAAUACCGGGUGGCGACCGGCGCACGGGUGAGUAACGCGUAUGCAACUUGCCUAUCAGAGGGGGAUAACCCGGCGAAAGUCGGACUAAUACCGCAUGAAGCAGGGAUCCCGCAUGGGAAUAUUUGCUAAAGAUUCAUCGCUGAUAGAUAGGCAUGCGUUCCAUUAGGCAGUUGGCGGGGUAACGGCCCACCAAACCGACGAUGGAUAGGGGUUCUGAGAGGAAGGUCCCCCACAUUGGUACUGAGACACGGACCAAACUCCUACGGGAGGCAGCAGUGAGGAAUAUUGGUCAAUGGCCGAGAGGCUGAACCAGCCAAGUCGCGUGAGGGAUGAAGGUUCUAUGGAUCGUAAACCUCUUUUAUAAGGGAAUAAAGUGCGGGACGUGUCCCGUUUUGUAUGUACCUUAUGAAUAAGGAUCGGCUAACUCCGUGCCAGCAGCCGCGGUAAUACGGAGGAUCCGAGCGUUAUCCGGAUUUAUUGGGUUUAAAGGGUGCGUAGGCGGCCUUUUAAGUCAGCGGUGAAAGUCUGUGGCCCAACCAUAGAAUUGCCGUUGAAACUGGGGGGCUUGAGUAUGUUUGAGGCAGGCGGAAUGCGUGGUGUAGCGGUGAAAUGCAUAGAUAUCACGCAGAACCCCGAUUGCGAGGGCAGCCUGCCAAGCCAUUACUGACGCUGAUGCACGAAAGCGUGGGGAUCAAACAGGAUUAGAUACCCUGGUAGUCCACGCAGUAAACGAUGAUCACUAGCUGUUUGCGAUACACUGUAAGCGGCACAGCGAAAGCGUUAAGUGAUCCACCUGGGGAGUACGCCGGCAACGGUGAAACUCAAAGGAAUUGACGGGGGCCCGCACAAGCGGAGGAACAUGUGGUUUAAUUCGAUGAUACGCGAGGAACCUUACCCGGGUUUGAACGCAUUCGGACCGAGGUGGAAACACCUUUUCUAGCAAUAGCCGUUUGCGAGGUGCUGCAUGGUUGUCGUCAGCUCGUGCCGUGAGGUGUCGGCUUAAGUGCCAUAACGAGCGCAACCCUUGCCACUAGUUACUAACAGGUAAAGCUGAGGACUCUGGUGGGACUGCCAGCGUAAGCUGCGAGGAAGGCGGGGAUGACGUCAAAUCAGCACGGCCCUUACAUCCGGGGCGACACACGUGUUACAAUGGCGUGGACAAAGGGAAGCCACCUGGCGACAGGGAGCGAAUCCCCAAACCACGUCUCAGCUCGGAUCGGAGUCUGCAACCCGACUCCGUGAAGCUGGAUUCGCUAGUAAUCGCGCAUCAGCCAUGGCGCGGUGAAUACGUUCCCGGGCCUUGUACACACCGCCCGUCAAGCCAUGGGAGCCGGGGGUACCUGAAGUCCGUAACCGCGAGGAUCGGCCUAGGGUAAAACUGGUGACU
rnacentral:rRNA from 1 species